CGGGGCGUAGCUCAGCCUGGCAGAGCGUCUGACUGGGGGUCAGAAGGUCGUAGGUUCGAAUCCUGUCGCCCCGACCA
rnacentral:tRNA from 2 species